GCAGAAUUUCUUAAGAGUCGGACCUCAAUUCAUUUGUCGUAAUAUAUCGCUUACCAUCGGGACGAAAUGGAUUCUACCAGUAACAAUAAUGAUACAGGCUGCACCAGCAAGUAGGCCUGAGGCAACUUCUCAACCUGUGAACAAUGGGAAGUCAGUCAAAGCUAAGAAAAGAAAAGCCCAGCAAGGGAAAAGCAAGCAAGGCGAAGGGAGACUUAUUGCGCAGCUGAGAGAAUAGACAACUACGACCCCAAAAACAACACGUAUUACAUAAAGUGGCAAGGAUAUGAUGCGUCCCACAACUCAUGGGUGAAAGCGGAAGACGUAACUUCUCCUCUCAUCUCUUCUUACAAAGAAAAAUUAGGUUCAGGAACGCACAAGAAGUGAUGCACCUCAUGUCUUAGCCCUUUCGAUUGUUGAAAAAAUUUAUGUGAAUUUGUGCAAAUCCUCCCACCUGUGUUUUUUUGUUCAGUGGAAUUCACGUAUUUCGGUAUUCCUUCUUCACCUCCACGCAUUAUUCAUUCUGACAUAAACUCACAUGAUCACUUUUGAUGAAAGAUUACAUAAUGGAUAAUAUUGAAUUGGCACAAAUAUAGUAACAAUGUAAACUUAUCAUAUCUUUCAAAGGUCUCAUUAAAAGUAAAUGUAAGUUACAUGUACAUGUACUGUGGAAUUAUUGUUUUUUCAGACAAUCUGUGGCUGUUGUAUACAUGUAUCAUUUAAUA